rnacentral:rRNA from 1 species
GAUGAACGCUAGCGGCAGGCCUAAUACAUGCAAGUCGAACGGUGUCUUCGGACAUAGCGGCGCACGGGUGCGUAACACGUAUGCAACCUACCUUACAUUGGGGGAUAGCCUUUCGAAAGGGAGAUUAAUACCGCAUAAGACAGUAGCUGGGCAUCCAGCAGCUGUUGAAGAUUUAUCGAUGUAAGCUGGGCAUGCGUCCAAUUAGCUAGUUGGUGAGGUAACGGCUCACCAAGGCAAUGAUUGGUAGGGGAACUGAGAGGUCAAUCCCCCACACUGGCACUGAGAUACGGGCCAGACUCCUACGGGAGGCAGCAGUAGGGAAUAUUGGGCAAUGGACGCAAGUCUGACCCAGCCAUGCCGCGUGCAGGAUGAAGGCGUUAUGCGUUGUAAACUGCUUUUAUACAGGAAGAAACGACUCUUGCGAGAGGCAUUGACGGUACUGUAUGGAUAAGCACCGGCUAACUCCGUGCCAGCCGCCGCCGUAAAAC